GAUGAAGAACGUAGCGAAAUGCGAUACUUGGUGUGAAUUGCAGAAUCCCGUGAACCAUCGAGUCUUUGAACGCAAGUUGCGCCCGAAGCCAUCAGGUUGAGGGCACGUCUGCCUGGGCGUCACAUAUCGUUGCCCAAUGCCUAUUGCAGUGCAAUAGGAAUUUCUAGGGCGAAUGAUGGCUUCCCGUGAGCGUUGUUGCCUCGCGGUUGGUUGAAAAUCGAGUCCUUGAUAGGGUGUGCCAUGGUAGAUGGUGGUCGAGUUAGAACGAUACCGAUCAUGUGCAUGCUCCCCAAAAUAUGGCCUCUAUGACCCACACGCGUCUUUUGACGCUCAUGACGAGACCUCAGGUCAGGCGGGGCUACCCGCUGAGUUUAAGCAUAUCAAUAAGCGGAGGA
rnacentral:misc_RNA from 1 species